rnacentral:lncRNA from 1 species
AUCGACCACGGGGCAGAACUUUGCAAGCUAUUAUAUUUGGUUUGUCUCGUUGCAAGCUUCAAAACGAUAUAUUAUAUACCUAAAACGAACACCUGUAACCUUAGUUAUGACCUCUAGAAAAUAAUUUGCUCAUCUUAUGCAACAAUCCUACAUUAGCUAGCCCAAUUUGGGAUUGUGAUGACUUAUGUAAUAAACCACUUCUAUAAUAAACCACUUCUAUAAUGCGAAUGAGUAAUCUACUUAUUAAAUAGGGUUAAAGCUUGUUUAGUCCUUAUAUUAUGAGGUUAGUGUCUAUUUAGUUCCUGUAUUUUUAAAAAUACCUCAAAACGUCCCUGCUACUAAAUAUUGACACUUAUGCCAUUAUUUUUUUUAUUUUUAACUUACUUUUACAAUAUUACAUUUUUACAAUAAUGUUUCUUUUUUGGAUAUUAAUAAAAAAUUAAAUUAUCAAAUUAAACUCAAAAAUAAAAUAAAAACAAAAAAGGUAUAUAUUAAUUUUUGUGGAAGCUCACGUAUGUCUAAAAAAAUAAUAUCGUAAAAAAUUACAUUAUCAAUUUUUUUAGAAAAAUUAAUAUUUUAACUCAAGAGUAUGUUCCACAAAAAUUAAUUUUUUUUUUAUUUUUUUUGGUGUUAAACUGGUAAUUUAUUUUUUUCUUUUUAAUAAUGUCUAAAAAAAUUAUUAUAAUAGGGUUAUUUUUUUCUUUUUAAUAAUGUCUAAAAAAUUAUUAUAAUAGGGCAAUAUUAUAAAAAUAAGUUAAAAGGAACAAAAGAUAAUGGCAAAAGUGUCAAUAAUUUAAUGGUAGGGAUGGUUUGAGGUAUUUUAAAAAAUAUAGGGACUAAACGGGUACUAACUUCAAAAUAUAGGGACUAAACGAGCUUUUACCCUAUUAAAUAUUAGUUUGUUGUUUGGUAAAGUGUGUUAUUAUAGUUGCUUUGAGUUUAAAAAGAAUAUUACAUGUGAAUGUGAUGUUUUGUUAUAUAAUGACUGAAAUAAUCGUAAUUUAAUUUUUUUAUUUAUAUAUUAAGAUUUAUUAAAAAAUAAGAUGUAAUUGUCUCUUUGUUAAAACAUUACAGUUAUAAUAGGAACUUAAAAAAGGCGUGGUGUCUUAUUUGAUAUCUAUUUAUAAAUAGCAACUAUACAUGCUUUUAAAAAUUAUUGUCAAAAUGAAGAAAUUUAUGAAUAAGUAGCUUUUAAAAAAUUUAUCUAACACUAUUUAUUACUACAAUAGAGCUCUCUCUCUCUCUCUCUCUCUCUCUCUCUAUAUAUAUAUAUAUAUAUAUAUGAAAGGUGAUCAGGUGUGCGACUAUAUACCAAACUCCUAGAUUUUUUUAAUCUUAAUCUUCAAUGAAUUAUUACUAUUAAGAGAACUGAUCAAGUGCGUGGCUAUAUAUCAAACUCCGAAAUUUUUGGUAUUGUACGCAGUUAUGAUCUUAAUCUUUGGCUAAGGGUAUGAUUGGGAUUGCAUUAGCUUGCUAAAUAAUCCAUCCUCAUAUAAAUUCUCCAAUAAUUAACUUUGCAAAUAAUUUGAUGAGAUGUUUGGUAAAAUUGGAUUAUAAGGAAAUCAAUUAUUAAAUAAUUUACUUAACAUGUUUGUCGUAUUAAUCAAAAAAUUGUGUUGUGUGCAAAUUACCAAGAUGGACAAGUUUUCUUAUAUAGUAAUAUAUAAUGAUAAUUAUUACGAUUUAUUUAUAUUAAUGACAAAUCAAAAAUAAUAAUUGCUACUAUUAAUUUAUAUUAAUGAAAAAUAAAAUAUGAUAAGAUAAAAUAACCCAAUGUUUCAAGGGAACCAUAAGCUCGCCAUUAUACGGAGGCUUUCACAGCGCGAAACCAAUUGAACGGUGGUCGCAUGUCGCUGAUACAUCAAAUAUUAGUGGUGGUGAUGCUAUUUGUUUAACGUUUUGUUGAUGUCGAAUAACGACCUCAAUAGCUGAAUUCAUUUUCUUUGGGGAAUAACAGUACGAAUCCAACCUCAAACGUCAUUUUGAUCGCAACUUUAUAUACCUGUUAACUAGAAAACAUGGUUAGGAUACGCUGAUGGGGUUCCGACGUAGACCCUUCGAUACUUAAGUCAGAAAUUGUGUACAAGGAAAGAAAAACGAGAAGGAAGAAUUGUGAAUAAGUUAAAAUCAAGGAAUUUUUCCAAUAGAGGUGUUGAAAAUCUUGUAGGAAAUUAUGAGGCUUUUAAAUAGGUAACUUGUGGAAUUUUUGGUUGAUUUUGCUAACCCCUUCCUCUUAUACCCUCUUAAGCUUAAAUAGGCUCUUGGUUGUGGGUGGUUACCUCCUUAACUUCAGCCCACUUUCUUCAGCAAUUGCAAGUGGUUAUCAAUUGGAGGUGGUUUAAGAAAUCGUGGCAUACUUCCCUGAAAAUUAGGCCACGUUCUCUUAACUAGCAAUUUUCCAUGUCAAGCUAAUUCUCAGGUCGAAUAAAUGAAUUUCGAGGUCGGACUACCUUACUUUCAAAUCGGGCUGGUGAAUUUUUGUAUCGCUCAUAUAAGCUUAAAGUUACUCUCAAAUCAGGUCGU